CGGGGUGCACCAGGCGCGAAAACUUUGCAAUACACGAAAGUGUGACAGGGUCAUCCCGAGUGCCGACCGCUGAGGUUGGCUUUUACCCAGUCUAGAAAGCUGGGGGAAUAAGGAGAGGGCAAGUCUGGUGUCAGCCGCCGCGGUAAUACCAGCUCUCCGAGUGGUGUGGACGUUUAUUGGGCCUAAAGCAUCCGUAGCUGGCUGAUCAAGUCCCCUGUUAAACCCACCGAUUUAAUCGUUGGCUUGCGGGGGAUACUGCUCGGCUAGGGGACGAGAGAGGCAGACGGUAUUCCCGGGGUAGGGGUGAAAUCCUAUAAUCCCGAGAAGACCACCAGUGGCGAAGGCUGUCUGCUAGAACGCGCCCGACGGUGAGGGAUGAAAGCUGGGGGAGCGAACCGGAUUAGAUACCCGGGUAGUCCCAGCUGUAAACGAUGCAGACUAGGUGUUUGGACGGCCACGUGCCGUUCUAGUGCCGCAGGGAAGCUGUUAAGUCUGCCGCCUGGGGAGUACGAUCGCAAGAUUGAAACUUAAAGGAAUUGGC
rnacentral:rRNA from 1 species